CGGCGAAAAUAAAAAUAUGGAAAACACGACAAAGAUUCUUUACAAUGACACUGGAAACCAAUUGAGAGGGAUGUAGCGCAGCUUGGUAGCGCGUUUGUUUUGGGUACAAAAUGUCACGGGUUCAAAUCCUGUCAUCCCUAACUAUUACUUAUCCUAUGAACAGUAACAAUAUAUCACAAUAUAUAUUGUGAUAUAUUGAUAUAGUAUAUGCAUGCAAGAUGUAUUGGGGUCUCAUAAAAUUAUUUAUGAGAAUAAAGCGCUCUUAGUUCAGUUCGGUAGAACGCGGGUCUCCAAAACCCGAUGUCGUAGGUUCAAAUCCUACAGAGCGUGAUUCCAUUCUUGUUAGAUCCAGACAGAACGACACUGCG